GACGAACGCUGGCGGCGUGCCUAAUACAUGCAAGUAGAACGCUGAAGGAGGAGCUUGCUCUUCUGGAUGAGUUGCGAACGGGUGAGUAACGCGUAGGUAACCUGCCUGGUAGCGGGGGAUAACUAUUGGAAACGAUAGCUAAUACCGCAUAAGAGUAGAUGUUGCAUGACAUUUACUUAAAAGGUGCAAUUGCAUCACUACCAGAUGGACCUGCGUUGUAUUAGCUAGUUGGUGGGGUAACGGCUUACCAAGGCGACGAUACAUAGCCGACCUGAGAGGGUGAUCGGCCACACUGGGACUGAGACACGGCCCAGACUCCUACGGGAGGCAGCAGUAGGGAAUCUUCGGCAAUGGACGGAAGUCUGAACGAGCAACGCCGCGUGAGUGAAGAAGGUUUUCGGAUCGUAAAGCUCUGUUGUAAGAGAAGAACGAGUGUGAGAGUGGAAAGUUCACACUGUGACGGUAUCUUACCAGAAAGGGACGGCUAACUACGUG
rnacentral:rRNA from 1 species